rnacentral:rRNA from 1 species
GGUGAACGCUGGCGGUAGGCCUAACACAUGCAAGUCGAACGGCAGCACAGGAGAGCUUGCUCUCUGGGUGGCGAGUGGCGGACGGGUGAGGAAUACAUCGGAAUCUACUCUGUCGUGGGGGAUAACGUAGGGAAACUUACGCUAAUACCGCAUACGACCUACGGGUGAAAGCAGGGGACCUUCGGGCCUUUCGCGAUUGAAUGAGCCGGUGUUGGAUUAGCUAGUUGGCGGGGUAAAGGCCCACCAAGGCGACGAUCCGUAGCUGGUCUGAGAGGAUGAGCAGCCACACUGGAAGUGGCACGCGGUCAAGACUCCUACGGGAGGGAGCAGGGGGGAAUAUUGGACAAUGGGGGCAAGCCUGAUCCAGCCAUACCGCGUGGGUGAAGGAGGCCUUCGGGUUGUAAAGCCCUUUGUUGGGAAAGAAAUCCAGCUGGCUAAUACCCGGUUGGGAUGACGGUACCCAAAGAAUAAGCACCGGCUAACUUCGUGCCAGCCGCCGCCGUAA